UACGUUUUUAUUGCUAUAGAGAAGAAUUAAAUAAAUUCUAAUUUCUAAGUUAAUCGACACAACGAAUGUAUAAUUUGAAGGAUUCAAAUACAACAAAUGUAGUUUCCUUCGAUGAAAAGAUUUCAGAAAAAGUCUAUCAUCGAUCAAAAGGUCUUACUGACAGCUUACAAAAAGUAGAAAAAUUAGAAAAUAAUAAAGUAAGUUUAAUAAUAAAAUAUAUUACGUUUUAGGAAAUUUUAUAUUGCAUUUUAUUUAAUAAUUUACUUAAUAAAUGUAUUCUUUUAAAAUAACAGCAUGAUGUAUAUCAAUCACCAGAAAUAAAUAUUAGGAAUAUAAGAAAGAUAAAAUGUCUACCUAUAAAAUUUCAAAAACUAAUGGUUCCAAGAAAAAAUACAAAAUUGAGUUAUCAUUUCAUUAGUAAGAUUUUAUGUCAUCUGUCAGUUAAUAACUUUAUUCUUAUUAUUAUUUAUUUUUGAGCCAUAUUGCCAUAUAUGUAAUAUACUAAAAUAAUAAUGGUAUUUUGCUAUAGAAAAGAAUAAUAAUUCAUCAAAUAUAUUAAGCGUGCGAAGAAAUAGUAAUAUCAAAGUAGGUAUUUUUAGUUUAUUCGAAACUAAUAUUUGCGUGAUAUAGUGUAAAUAAAUAAAGAGAAUUUUUUAAAUGUUACUUUAUUGGCAUAUUAAAUAAUAUUAUUACAUUAAAAUGGUACUAUUUGUUAUUACCUCGUAGCAGAAUGUACUCGAUGAUUCGCAAAAGAUGGCAGUCCAGUCAGAAUUCAUACAGGCGUUGACAGAAGAAAAGUAUACAGUGGAUAAAAUAAGAUUCGGGAAUAUAAGUAAAGUUAGCAUACUUCUCUUGUAUCUCCACUUUUUGCUUUGUUAUUAUC